rnacentral:rRNA from 1 species
AUUGAACGCUGGCGGCAUGCUUUACACAUGCAAGUCGAACGGUAACAGGCCUUCGGGCGCUGACGAGUGGCGAACGGGUGAGUAAUGUAUCGGAACGUGCCCAGUUGUGGGGGAUAACUGCUCGAAAGAGCAGCUAAUACCGCAUACGACCUGAGGGUGAAAGCGGGGGAUCGCAAGACCUCGCGCAAUUGGAGCGGCCGAUAUCAGAUUAGGUAGUUGGUGGGGUAAAGGCUCACCAAGCCAACGAUCUGUAGCUGGUCUGAGAGGACGACCAGCCACACUGGGACUGAGACACGGCCCAGACUCCUACGGGAGGCAGCAGUGGGGAAUUUUGGACAAUGGACGCAAGUCUGAUCCAGCCAUGCCGCGUGCGGGAAGAAGGCCUUCGGGUUGUAAACCGCUUUUGUCAGGGAAGAAACGCUCUGGGUUAAUACCUCGGGGUAAUGACGGUACCUGAAGAAUAAGCACCGGCUAACUACGUGCCAGCCGCCGCCGUAAAAC